GGGAGGAAGGUACAGAUUGUAGGUAGAUAAAUUGAUCAUUAGGUAGGAAGGUACAGUAUGUAGGUAGAUUAGUUGAUCAUUAGGGAGGAAGGUACAGUAUGU